rnacentral:lncRNA from 1 species
AGUUUGAAAAGAUUUUAUUCCAUAUAUCAAGCAAAUAAUUAAUAAGUUGAUCAUUAACCUUAAAUAUAAUUUUCGUACAUAAAUUGAAAGGUGGUAUACUUAAAUGUAAUAAACACAAACCUUAAACAUGAGUGAUAAUAAGGUUUGCUAUAUGAUAUGUAUAUGUAAAAAUCCCUUUUUAAAAUCAAGUUGAAAUUUCGUUUGGUUUAUGGUUAUAAGGUUUGCUAUGGGAUGUAUAUGUAAAAAUCCCUUUUAAAAAAACACAAUCUGAAAUCCGAUCUAAGAAAUUGAAUGGACGGCCAUUGUAUGGCUUGUGGCGCAGAAUUCUGCAUUCUUAAACAGCAAUGAGGGGCCUUAAUGCUAGCAGUUUCAGUUUUGACUCUUCAGCCGAAGCUCAAAUAUGCAUGUUAUCAGCUGCUAAUCCAGCCAGCUGCCAGCAUCUUUGCUUGCAGUCACGAAUCAACAAGUGAAUGAACCGGUUUUUCACUUCCAUCUAAAUUAAUUUCAUUACUCCACUUAAUAAAAGGAUUAACACACAACAAAUAAUUUGUAGAACACGAAUUUACCUAAAAAGACUAUUACAGGGGGCAUCCACUUAAUAUCGGAAAUAACCAAUACAAAGUCCGAAAUUUCAGUCAGCUUAUUCAGCAAACACUUUCUCCUAAUGUCCACUAUAACAACUCGGAUUACACAUAUCAAAGCUCAUCAUCUCAUGGAAACUAUCCCUAUGCCAGAAAAUAAUGAUGAUUCUUUUAUGUGAUGUCUCAUGUCCAAGUCAAGUUAU